AAUCAACGCUGGCGGCGUGCCUCAGACAUGCAAGUCGAACGAUUAAAGCUCUCUUCGGAGAGUGCAUAAAGUGGCGCACGGGUGAGUAACACGUAAGUAAUCUACCUUCGAGUGGGGAAUAACGUCCGGAAACGGACGCUAAUACCGCAUAACGCAGCGGCAUCGCAAGAUGACAGUUGUUAAAGAUUUAUCGCUUGAAGAGGAGCUUGCGGCAGAUUAGCUUGUUGGUAAGGUAACGGCUUACCAAGGCUACGAUCUGUAUCCGGUCUAAGAGGACGGUCGGACACACUGACACUGAAUAACGGGUCAGACUCCUACGGGAGGCAGCAGUCGGGAAUUUUGGGCAAUGGGGGGAAACCCUGACCCAGCAACGCCGCGUGAAGGAUGAAGUAUUUCGGUAUGUAAACUUCGAAAGAAUAGGAAGAAUUAAUGACGUACUAUUUAUAAGGUCCGGCUAACUACGUGCCAGCAGCCG
rnacentral:rRNA from 1 species